rnacentral:sRNA from 1 species
UGUUUCGAUCUGCUGCGGGCAGAUGAAAUGAAUGUGGCUGUCGACGCCACCGGCCGUGAGGAUCUGUCCUUCGCCAGCAAUGGCCUCCGUUCCCGGUCCCACCACGAUCGUCACCCCCUCUUGGGUGUCGGGGUUGCCGGCUUUUCCGAUGGCAACGAUGCGACCGUCUCUCAGGCCUACAUCCGCUUUCACGACGCCCCACCAAUCCAGGAUUAAAGCGUUGGUGAUCACGGUGUCGACGGCACCUUCAGAGCGGGGCGUUUGGGCUUGGCCCAUGCCGUCGCG